rnacentral:rRNA from 1 species
GACGAACGCUGGCGGCGUGCUUAACACAUGCGAGUCGAACGGAAAGGCCCUGCUUUUGUGGGGUGCUCGAGUGGCGAACGGGUGAGUAACACGUGAGUAACCUGCCCUUGACUUUGGGAUAACUUCAGGAAACUGGGGCUAAUACCGGAUAGGAGCUCCUGCUGCAUGGUGGGGGUUGGAAAGUUUCGGCGGUUGGGGAUGGACUCGCGGCUUAUCAGCUUGUUGGUGGGGUAGUGGCUUACCAAGGCUUUGACGGGUAGCCGGCCUGAGAGGGUGACCGGCCACAUUGGGACUGAGAUACGGCCCAGACUCCUACGGGAGGCAGCAGUGGGGAAUAUUGCACACUGGGCGGAAGCCUGAUGCAGCAACGCCGCGUGCGGGAUGACGGCCUUCGGGUUGUAAACCGCUUUCGCCUGUGACGAAGCGUGAGUGACGGUAAUGGGUAAAGAAGCACCGGCUAACUACGUG